rnacentral:rRNA from 1 species
UGGGGAACUUUGGACAAUGGGCGCAAGCCUGAUCCAGCAAUGCCGCGUGCAGGAUGAAGGCCUUCGGGUUGUAAACUGCUUUUGUACGGAGCGAAAAGGUCUGCCCUAAUACGGUGGGCUCAUGGCGGUACCGUAAGAAUAAGCACCGGCUAACUACGUGCCAGCAGCCGCGGUAAUACGUAGGGUGCGAGCGUUAAUCGGAAUUACUGGGCGUAAAGCGUGCGCAGGCGGUUAGGCAAGACAGAGGUGAAAUCCCCGGGCUCAACCUGGGAACUGCCUUUGUGACUGCAUAGCUAGAGUACGGUAGAGGGGGAUGGAAUUCCGCGUGUAGCAGUGAAAUGCGUAGAUAUGCGGAGGAACACCGAUGGCGAAGGCAGCCUCCUGGGCCAGUACUGACGCUCAUGCACGAAAGCGUGGGGAGCAAACA